rnacentral:lncRNA from 1 species
CUACAUCACUCCCUGCGUCUCUCUGUCGAACGACUUCCAAGCUUUUCAGAGAUAAUCAUCGCUUGCUCAACUGCAGCGACAACGACAAUGUCGAGAGUACUGCUGUUCCUGGUCGUGCUCUGGGCUCUCUUUACGGGCUUUGAUGGCCGUGUUCUUGAUGCAGCAUUACCAGCUACGUCAGGGAAUCGGAUGAACAAUGGUCAUCGCCACAACUUUUAUGUAGUGGGCGGUGGUCGCGAGCUUUAUCUCGGCACGAGGAGGUCGGUCCUCCUUGACAGGCCUGCACCCGGAGGACCUAAUCCACACCACGACUCUGGACCCGGAGGACCUAAGCCACACAGCGACUGACAAUAGUCAUCAGUCUUGCCUGGCUUUGUUUGGCCCUUGGGAAGAUCCCUCAAUUGCAUGCAUACAAUCAAGAAGUUGAUUAUAACAAGUGUUUAGACUUUGUCUGUAUGACAGUCUUUCGAGUACUGUAAGAAUAACAAUUUGUUGUGAGUCACGAAUUCUGGAAGAAGUGAAUCUUAUAAUAAUUUAUAGUUAUUUGCAUUUUGAUUUUUUGUGAUUUAUAAUAGACUAAUAUUCUCACAAUACAUUAAAGACUAUUAUGCAAUCAUUUAUCGAAGUGUUUUGCGCAAUGAAGAUGACUUAUAUGUCACAACUCACCAUAUUUGCUCCCUUUAGUUCAAUUGUGGUGGAGGCAUGGAGUCCAAAUGCAAUUAUAAAUGGACAUUUUAGAUUUAUUGAGUAGUUCGAGUGUACGCAUAUCUAUUUUCUAAUAACAUUAAUGAGGACUAUUUUUCAUUAGUUCUAGGUGAAUGUGAUAAGCUCUCAUGUAAAAUGUGUGAUCUAUUAAGAACGAUCAAGAAUUUAUAUAUGUAUUGAUUGUUCGUGAUAUAGUCGAUGUUCAUAUUCUUAAGUAAUCUAAUUCAUAAAAUGCAAUCUAUAUCAAUAGUUACGUAGCAAAAUAAAUAUAUUUAGUUCUACCAACCAAAAGAAGUUAUUAUAGAGACCUAGCAAUAUUUUUUUCCACGUUCUUGAUCACUACCAUGCUUCACUAACUUUCUAAUAUGGGCCGACUGACAAGCUCAAUUUAUUUUCCUAAUAAAUGCCUUGUAAUAUAAUCUUUUAUGACUAUAUGUAUUUCGCAAUCUUGCGUAUUUUGGCCUUGCCAUGGGCUCAAACCACUAUGCCCAUGAUUGAGUCUAAUUCUAAAACAAGAGGAGUUGAAAUUAAUGGGUUUCUCAAUUAUCAAUCCGAGUCUAAAAAUCCCAUAUAUAAUCAUUUUAGUGCACCAACAAUGUUGACACCUAAAUUUUGGCAGCCCGAUCAUUUAUUUAUUGCAUAGAAAAUUAGGGGUUAAUUUUAUCCUUGAAAAAAUAUUAAUUGCAUAGCAUGUAGGUUUAUGUGCAUUUAUUUUGCAUUUGCAUUUUUUGCAUUUAUUUAUUGGACCGGUGGCGGAUGGAUUCAAAUUAGUAGUUCUGAGCUUUAACUUGGCAGAUCAGAUUAAACCAUGAAGCGAGCAAAUUGACGUAAGUCCGUUUUCUUUAAUUAUCUCGUGAAAAAUAGGAAUUUGAAAUUUUUCGUAGAUAUGAUGAAUCUUUUAGAUAGGGCAGAUGUGAAAAGCGAAUAUUGCAAAAAAGAAUCUUCGUGGAUAUCGAUUUGGAAAUUAAAAAAGAAAAAGAAAAAAGAAACCCUAAUCGCUGACCUAUAAAAAGGUAAAAUGCGUAGGUUUCGGGAGGCCACACAAUUCCAUACACGGCCGCCAUUGAGAGAGGACACGUUCGUGAGAGUUGAACAAGUCACGGUUGAAACCUCUUCACGGCCAUGAAUUUGUCAAGUUCGUGGCCGUGCCUCGACACCGACCCUGCUGCCAAUCGUCCGUUGCAUUGACAACGACCAGCUUUGUCGCGAUCCUCUCCAAUGAUAAAGUAGCAGCGUGCACCCCUCGCCUGGCGGCGAUAAACAAUCACGAAGUUUUGGGGCCUACACGCAAUUGCAAACCCACGGCCAUUAGUGAGAGAAAUCGUGAGUGGGCACAUUGAGGGGGAAAAUCGAGAGAAAGGGGGGCGGCAUUAAAAAAGAGAAAAAUAGAAGAGUUUCCUUGUCUUUUCAGUAGGUCAGCGAAGGACAUGCAUGAAGGAGCUUGAUACCCAAAGGGAGAAAGCGAAGUGGAGAUUUUUGGCUUGGUCUGUCCGGUCCUUGCAGCGAAAUCAGAAUCUCCAGCAAGCCUUGCAGUCGCACCUUGCCAUAUGCUCCAGUCACGCUCAGAUCAGCAAAGUCAGCACCUCCUCGGGUUCUUGUCGCUGCGCCAAUCCAAUCCUUGACCGACGUUCAAUUUUUUCGACGAGUGCCUAGUUCCUGGUCAACACCCGAGCAUCGCAACAAUGGCAGUUCAGCAAACUCUUUAUCCAGUCCAGUGCACUCUUGAUAUUCUUGCAGGUUUCCUAGCGAGUCUUCGUCGCAACUAGUCCCUUCUUGUGACGAAUACUGACCCUGAUUGCUGCUACCCCGAUGAGUCUAUUGCUUAACCGACAUUGCUGUUGCAACCUCAGCAAUAGCAAAUCUUCCACUGCCCAGAAGCCGUGCUGCCCCCUCUAGCCAAGAGUCAUUAUCGCGCAUCAUGUAACGCCCGAGCCCCACUGUGUAAUAUUGUCCGCUUUAGACACUGAAUCCUCAAUGCUUUACAUUUUAAAACGCGUUGUGUUAUACAGAAGGGACUCAAAGCUUUUAUAAACUAGCCCAAAUGCCCCCCUAUGCGAUGUGGGAUGGGAGACAGGCCUUAGCCUCACCCACGUAUUGGGUCGUCACAUUCUCCCUCCCUUAAAAGGCACAAUGUCCUCGCUGUGGCCCCCACACACGGUCGGGAGUCGGCUCUGAUGCCAUUUGUAACAACCCGGGCUCCACUGUGUAAUAUUGUCCCCUUUGGACAGAUUAAAGGGACUCAAGCUUUUAUAAACUAGCCCAUGACUCCCCCCUAAGCGAUGUGGGACGGGAGACAUGCCUUAGCCUCACCUGCGUACUGGGUCGUCACACAUCACCCUAGUCAAAUCAUGAGGAGCACCACCACAGCCCCUGCCCUUGAGCUGUGCUGCGCUACGCCUCCAUCGUUGGUCCACCUCACCAUUUGAAUUUUUGGAAAAACUUCAAUUUUGGUAGAGAUUUAUUUUAUUAGGUAGAUUUGUUUUAUCUUAUUUUAGUUUUUGAUAUUUUAUCUCUUUGUUUGAAAUAUUUUCAGAUGCAUGAUUGAAAUUCCCUGAUGUAGCAUCCAAUUCGCAGCCGCACGAAUUUUUAUUCUAUCUAUAAGGCUUUAGAUGGAAUAAUUAUUCACGUGGUAGUAAAAUUGAUAUAUUGAUCUUUAAGACUUAAAAAUCAGUUUAUCGAUUUUAUUAGUGAAAUAAUCAAGUUUGAAUUUCAAUUCAAAUGGUGAAUAACAUUUUUGAUGACCAUGGAUGAUUUGGUGUUUAUCUUUUAAUUGUUCUAUUUAUCCCGAAAAUACAAAAAUUGCAUUUGCAUCCCAUGUAGAUUAGAAUUGAUUGCAUGAUAGGUUAGUUAGAUUUUUUUUUUUUUUUUAAGAUGAAGGUAUUUAGAAUAGAUAACAUUUCACUUUAGUUAGAUUUUUAUUUGUAGUGAUUUUAAUUAUGAAUUUUCAUAAAAAUACAAAAAAAUCAUGCGCAUGUCAUGUAGGAUUAGGUUCAUGAAAUGCAUGUCAUUUAGUGAUUGUUGCUAAGUUCAUUUAAUUAGAAAUUACCUGUCAUUAGAAUUAGGUCAUUUGGUUAAUUUAGAUUGCACAUUUAAUUAUUACAUUUAUUUAGAAAUUACUUUACUUAUGUCAUAUAGCUUAGGUCAUAUUGUCAUGCCAUAUCAUUUCAUGUUAUAUUAGUAGCAUGGCAUUGCAUAUAGAUUAGAUUCUCAUUGAAUAAGUGAAAACCAAAAAUUAAGUGAUUGCUUGUUAAUUAGAAAUCAUAUCUAGAACCGUUGAUGUGAAUUAUGAUCUAACAACGUAGAUGCUUUCAUUGCUAGUUUUGCAAUUUAUUUAUUACUUUCUUGGGUGUUAAAUUGGUGGUUUGCGCACCCGCUUGAUUACCUCACAUGUUAGGGAGAUAAAUUUAAAAUUAAAUCAAGCUGCCUACAAAAUAUUUUUUUUUUCGGAAAUAAAAGAGAAAUGUACCAAAAGGGCGUUAGAAAAAUCUAACGUAAUCAAAUCUCUGAACUCACAAUCUUUGAUUCGCAGAAGUAAAAUAAUUCUCCUGUUAUUAGGUAUCUAAUCGACCUAUUGUAAACUAAUUAGUGACGACUCUCUUUUGCAUGUGAAAUAUUUGAACCUAAGUCGCAAAUUGGUAUGAGCUUAGGAAAGCCCGAGCUAAGUGAGACUUAGUAAUCCAUUAGUCAAACCCUAGAUGUUUCACCCGAAAUUUGGUCGCGCCAAACAAUAUGACCUUGGAAUAUUUUCCAAAACCUAGGGCAUUUGGGGAAACCUCUCUUCUUUCGACAAUCAAGAGAAUACUCACUAAUACUUGCGUAUAUUUUUACUAGUAGUGAUGAGAUGUUGACCAACGUCCUUGAAUUAUUCACCAACCUUUUCUAAAUAACCUAAUAGCAUUUUAUUUACCACAAGUAAUGAAAAUUUAAUACCUUUGAGAAUCUACUAAAUCUUCGGGACCCUUAUUGCAUGGACAUUUUUAGUAUGCUACUACUAUUGUGUACAAUAAUGACUAGGGCCCCAUCAAUAGCGUAUCAGAGAAGUUCCUAAUUGGAAGAAUGCGAUCAUCGACUUAACAGAUUUUUCUGGACAUUCAUCGUAUUGAUUAUUGAAGGCGGAUGGCCGUUAUGAACAUGAAGACUAAAAAGCAUACUAAUACAUUGAAAAUCUUUCCAAGCAAUACCGUCAAAGUAGCACGACCCAUUCCUAAUGCGAGCGUGAGAAUACUUUGCAAACUCGUUCAGACAUUAACUGCUUAGCUAAUUAAUGACAACCAUUCACCAUAAGAACCGAACCGAACCGAACCAUAUUGACCUACAGAAAAACUUACCUUACUAGAACUACCAAACAAUUAAUUAGCCUAUUACCUAUUGAAAAAAUUUACUGAUUAAUUAAUUAAUUAAUUAAGUGUUUACUGAUUCCCAUUUUAGUGAAAAUGAAGCUUUGACAAGAGGAAGAAGGAAGGGGGGGGGGGGUGAUUUCCUUUUUUCAGAAAACGGAUAUCAUUUCUCUCUUUUUAAGAAGGGUGUUUUCCAUUGACCGGAAAGUAUUUUCUUUGUCCACUCAUUUUCCAUGCUACAAACACCGGAAACUGUGGGAAAGUUUUUCGCAAAAUAAAUACGGUCUCAUCAUACAUUUGAGAACUUGCGGAAAUCUUGUUUGCGUGGGCUGGCAUCAAACCCGGCCUGGCCCGGCCCGACCUCUCACGGUCUUGCUGGCUGCGUCGAGCGUCCACGACCAAAGGGAGGAUUGGCUUGGGGCAACACGUCAUCGGAUGGAUGGGCCUCUUCCACCCCACCAUUGAAGUUCAUCCAUCCGAUCCACUGCUGAGAUACUUUUGAAUUGAAUCUCUCGCGGUGCGGGACUCCCACCACCCGCUUUCGUGCGAAACCAAAAGCCGCUGUUUGCAUACGGCCCCAGAAGCGGCGCCGUUUUUCAGAAAGCUCCCGAGCAACGCGCUCUUUCCGCUGUUGCUGCUGGCGCACCAACGCGGCCGUCAUUUCCAUUUAUGCGAUUUUAAAAUUCCCUUAUUACAGAUGUUUAAGAAUUUUUCCUCGUUGUUGGAAACACUCAUCAAUACCAAGAAGGUAUUUCUAAUGCAUUUCUUAACACCAUUCCUUUAAUCAUAAACCUUUUAAGAUUUGCUAAUUUAGUCAUUUGGCGAUCUAGUUAGCACAAACUGUUCUAUAUAGCACAAUUGACGCUAAUUAGACAAUUUUUUAAAUUAUGCAAUUCUUUCUAUUUCUUUUUCCCUUUUCUUUUCCUCUGGCCUCAAGUGAGGGUCGCUCAAGGCCUAAUGUCGACGACCUUUGCCGGCCAUUUACGAGGAUUGGCGAUGGUUGGCAUAGGGAUAAAGGGAAAAAGAAAAAGAAAAAAGAAAAAAAAGACAAUGAGAAAAAAUAAAAAGAUAAAAUUUAAAAGAUAAAAUAUUGCAAAAUUGUCCAUAUUAGUGGCAAACUCUACUACCUAGGAUGGCUAGCAUUGAUUAGACUGCUAUGUCACUGUUUUUGGUUAAAAUUAGCCGGAAUGACUAAAUUGGCAAAUUGUUAAAAUGUUUUCUUGGCAAAAGGUAAGGGACAUGAGGAAAAGAGUUUAAGAGUACAUUUGGAUUAAUGGGACGUGAGCACUUGGAAUGCCAAAACUUGGCUUAGGGAGAUACUUAAGUGCCAAAGGUUUGUAAAUGUAUACCUUGUCCCAAAAUAAAAGUAACAUGGAUCAACUAAGUACCAACACUGAGAAAAUCCAGUCAAAAUACUAACAUGGCAUUUUUUCGAUUAGACAAGUGCAAAACGACGUUGUUUUAAAUGUUGACGUGGCUAGAUAAACCAACAACAUCAUUUUGCACUCUGAUAUAGCUAGAUAAGCCAAAAGCAAUGUCAUUUUGCCUGGGAUUUAAAUUUUAGUAUAGAUAUUAAUUAAAUUAAAUUUAAAACUAAAUUUAUAUUUUUAAAGAAAAAAAAAGAAAUUGUAGUUCGGCAAGGGCUAUGCAAGCCCUCACCAUUGCCUCCUCACUGUCACCCAGGGGGAAGGAUUGGCCACCGCAGUGAGGACUUGCAUAGCCCUUGCCAAAUGUGCUGCAAUUCCUUUUUUUUUUUUAAUAAUUUAAUUUUAAAUUUAACUUAACUAAUAUUUAUAUCAAAAUUCAAAUAAAAGGCAAACCGAUGUCGUUUCGGCUCUUCUUUACUGACUUAGCUUUUCAGUAAGUCACUUAGGCAAGUUAUAUUAUUAAGAAAAUGCUAUGUAAAAUUUUCGGUACUCUUCGUUGAAGUUGGCACUUAAAUGUUCCAUCUUUUUUUUUUUUUAAGUGGCACUUAUAUGUACAUUUCGUAACUUUUAGUGCUUAAAUAUUAUAUACCAAAUUUUGGCAUUCACACUAUACUUCUGCCUAAGAUUAGCAUUUCGUAAAGUAAUAUGUGUGAUCGGCCAAAAGAAAAAAAAAAGUGAUGUGUGGAAAAGAAAAAAAAAAAGUGAUGUGUGUGGGCCAGCGUGGAUUCGAAACCCAAAAUGAAUUUGACGGUCCACGAAAUGCAUUCCCUCUCCCCUAUUCACGAUGGUCUCUCGAUUGCUUUGUUGCACGGCCAAUGAUAUGGGGAUGGAGAUCCUCUUUUCUGGACCGUGUAUCUCUGCCCUUAUAACUCAGUGGCCACGUGAACCUUGUCGAGAUCUCGUUUAGUUCAAUUGGCCAUUAUGAUCUCCCUAAGAUCUAUAGGUAUCGUGGUCAAAAUUUUGACCAACACAUUAGAUAUGGAUUUGAACAGGACGCCUCUAGAUAUCUUCGUCAAGAUAUCUUGUCAAUGGCUGGCUGCAGGUCAUUGGCCAUGGUGAUUAGCCAGCGGAGUUCUCCUGGCUGAUCGCUAGCCAUCUAGUGGAGGAAGAAGGCAAAGAAAAGAAAAGGAAAUAACAAAUAAAAAACUAAAAAAAAAAAUUUAAAAACUUAUCCAUGUCAGCCUUGGCCACGGCACAUAAGACGACCGAUACUCAUGUCAACAAUUGCCAAUCAAAAUUGGCCUGAAAAAUUAAAUUGACAAAUUAUCAAAAAGUUUGUGACUAAAUUAACUAAAUCGAAAGGUUUAUGAUAUAGUUUUUUUUUUUUUUUUGUAAUUAUUAGGCCAUUGUGGUCAAGAUAUCAAUUGAGAAUAAGAAAGCGGUAAAUAGAAUUAUAGAAUUUUCAUUAUAUUUUGGUGAUAAAAAAGAGUAGAUGGAGGGCCUAUUUGUAGGCCUUUAAUAUAUUACUAUCUAAAGAAAUUAAAGAAAAUCAAAUCAGAUAUGCAUAAUAAAAAUAAAUAUACAAUAUUGAGGGGAAAUAGCAAGCAGCCAAUGUGACUGACUUGGAAAAUAGUAAUUGAGUGAUGCGGCCUAUAUUACUAACAUCGUGGCAUUAAAUGGCCUAUACUGCUAGUUAAGGAAAAUAGUUACUAAACGACGUGACCUAUGCGACUAGUAUUUAAAGAAAAGCCACCUCCAUGAUAAAGGCUUGACUAGGCAAUGCACUUUGCACGGCUGGCCAUCAUGCAAUGGAUUAGAGUAAUCACUUCCUCAUAUUAGACUUGUGUGUACAACAUGAACAUUGGUAACUACUAAAAAAUGGGGAUGGAGGAAUUACUUGGGUAUGCAUUAGGGUUGUCAAAUUGCAUGGGUGUGUGGGUGCAUCAAGUGCGAGGUGCACCCAGUGCACUAGGGUUGUCUUAGAAAUGAGGCUCUGAUAUCAAGUUGAGAAUGAGAAAACGGAAAAUAGAAUUGUCGAAUUUAUAUAUAUAUAUAUUCCUAUGUAUAUAAAAGAGUUGAUGGAGUUAAAUUUUAAUAGAUGAUCAUCAAAGGUAAUCAAAUAAGAUAUGCAUAAUUAAAAAAUAUAUAGAAAAUUAGAGGAGUAUCCUAUAUCAAUGAAUCGAUCAGAUAUGGAAUUGGACAGGGCGUAUUUAGAAAUCUCGUUGAGAUAUCUUGUCAGUUUCAGUGAUGAUUGUGCAGCUCGAUGCACCAUGUAAAGUUCUGCUCUACAACUCGCAAAUGCUUCACGUGAAAUCACGUGCUACUGAAAAAGGGGAAAUAAAUUGAAACAAGCCACGGACAAAUCGAAACGUGGCGAAACAUGAGGCAACUGAGAUAUAUUUUGAUACCGCUUUAUAUAAGACCAAUAGAACUCAAAAGUUCAAGAGGUCAGGUUUCACGUUAUCCUAGGUAAUUGCGCAUGACAUGGGAUGCCAAUCGAGAUAAAAAUGCAUGAUGAGCAAUGUAGGACAAAUCAAAUCACAGAAAACCAUCCUCAUUCGAAGGUUUUUCCCCAUAUAUAAUUCCCAUUUGACUCCUUAAAAGGUGCUCUCCUUUCCAUGACUUUCACCAAAUGGAAAAAUAUGGAGAACUCUUGCGAAGGUUCAUUACGUGGAGCCGCGCAUUUGACUGAAUAAUUUAGAAGAAAGAAGAAAGGCAUAUGUGGAUCUCAUCUUGAUAUGGGGCGCCAAAUUUUCCUACCUUACAUACCAAUUAAAAAGAAUAAGGAAAAAAGAGAGUUCCCUUCGAAACAAAACUUGAGAGAAAAAACAAAGAAAUUGUUCUGUUUUGGAUAAUUGUUGACGUGAUAUACCAAAUGCAUCCGCAUUUCUCUGUUGAGUUUACUGUGAUUUGAUGUCUAGAAUUUCGCAUCAGCAGCAUUAGCAGUAGAUGUAAGUAUACGGGACAUGCUAAAACCUGCUAUCUAGAGUUGAUAGCACGUUUUUUUUUUUUUCACUCCAAUUAGGAAAAAACAAAUACUACCUAUGAUCAUUAUUGUAAACUUCACAAGUAACAGGUGUUUUUUUAAUAAAAAUAUAUUUUUUUUUAAUAAUCCAAACGCAUCCAUUACCUGGAUCGUAAUAAUGUUAUAAUAUAAUGCGGAAACUAAUGAUUAUAUAAAAUUAAAUAAAUGCGAGAGAAUGAAAAUACUAAAGGAAUAAAUAAGGAACAAUAAAUAAUAAUAAAAAAUCGAAAUUUACAAGGUAGAAGAGUUAGCUGUAAAUAUAUCAAUAAACAAUGAGAAAAUGACAGUGGUAUAUUCGCUCACACACUGAAGUAUUUUCCAAUUCUAAGUUCCCAUCAGCAACAGGCCAUAUUCUCCAGCAAAGUCCUCUGACCAGCACCUCCACGAGUGUUAGUUCUCUUCUUCAGACUAAAAACAAUAUCCCACAAACUUCGUAUGAUGAUAAAGAAGUGACACGUCAAAUGUGGAAAUUGGCCAAACCAAUAGGAACACUUCUUCUUGUUAUUUCUUUGAAGAUUUCGGCCAAGACUAAUAGGAGUUUACUUCCUUAUUUUUCACACAAGAAAGGCGACAACAAUCUGGACUGUCCAAUUUAAUUUCGGGUCAGAUUUUUUUCAACAAUAUAAACUCGAAAUAUAAUGUAAUACAUGAAAUACCCUACAAGUCUUAUGAACUUCAAGUCUUUAACCCGUACUGAUAUCCCCAAAGAGUAGCUUACACGUGUUGGUGGGAUUUGAAUGGUUUGCCACUAGUUACUGAGCAUCCCAACAUCCUAAUCAACUGUGCCAACCUUGAAAAGCAGCGCAACAGUGCACGGAGAAUUGUAUAUUUUCUAAAUCUCACUAGAUAAAUUGGAAAUUUACACAGACAAACAUGUUUCACUCUUGCUAUUGAUAUGACAAGGGUAAGAUCUUACUAAGCAAAAAAUAAUAUUGUAUAUCUAUAAUCAAAUUACUUUAUCUUACAUGAUAUGAUAAGAUGGGGUGAGUAACCAAUAUUCUCUUUCCAUGCUUCUCAAGAUUACAUUUGCUAGAAUAAUUAAAUGUUGAACUAUACCUUCAUCUGCAAGUUUUAAUCCUUUAGAACACUUGAUAAUGGUUCAAACAAUAUUCUAACAAUAUUAGUUAUCUCUUUUGUUUAAUGGUGGUUUCUUGGUGGACACAAGAGACUCUUCCUCGACGUUUUCUCCAUAAGCUAAUAUACUCUAGAGGCCUAUCCCAUUAAGGUGACUCCAAUAUCCUUUGUUAAGAUAUGCAACAUGAUAAAAAAUCUUACCAUCUUGUCUUGGGGAGGUCACAGGGGGAAGGCAGAAUCCAAGCUCAUGUAUAUACCCAAUUAGAUAUCAUUUCGCUCAUAAGGUUAAGCUACUAAGUUAUUAUGAGGUAGAUAUAUUAUUAACUUCUUCAUACCCAAAUAAUUUCCCAUGUGAGUCUUUGAAUUUUCAUUAGUACCCAACAUGUUCAUGGCUAAGCAGGUUCUUCAUAAGAUGCUCCUCCAAUUCCACCUUUUGUUCGAACAAAGUAUUGGGGAACCGAGGCAAAGGAAAUUGAAUUCCUGAGGCUGGUAAUCGAUAUUGAUGAUGUUUUUCCUGUUAUGAUGCAUGUGUGAAUGAGUUGUAUUAGAGAAGUCCUACAUCAGAGAAUUGAUUUGGUAUGGAACAAUUAAUAUAUCCCAGUUGACUCAUAACUCAUUAAUUUAAGUUUUUUAGUGGAGAUGGAUCCAAUUGUAUACAUUGAGAGUUCAAACUUAAGCUCCCUCUUGGCAAUUCACCUAGAUAAAGAUAUCAAAUUUCUACCACGCGCUCCCAACAAAUGGUAUUGGAGCCCAUGGUUGUGAUUUCCAGGCAUGUGGACAUUGUAAUAUAGUAACACAAGCCCAUAUGAAGUUGAUGUAGAAGGACGUUUGAAUUAAGGGGGAGCACACAUAAAACUAAGCUUACACAUGAGAGGAAGAUUGUUAGAGAAAUUCAGAGAAUUGAUAUGGUAUGAAGCAGUUAUCAUAUUCCAGUUGGCCAAUAACUUGGUUUAAGCUUUUGAGCAAAAAUGCGUCCAACUAUAUAUGUUGAUGGGCUCAAACUUGAGCUCCUUUUUGGUAAUUUCCCCAAGUGAAAGUAUUGAACUACAACUGCGUGCUCCUAACAUUUCCAUCUUUUAGUUGAGUGACGUGGAGGGAGAUUUGAAGGGGACAAUCGAGCCAGCAAGUGCACAAUAUAAAAUGAUGUGGUCCUGCAUACCCUUUUAACAAGGAUUUUAGGUACGCUCAAAAGACUUAGUAAAUAUUUUUUCUCGACAUUACCUUCUGUAGAUUCUCCACUAGAGAUUUUUAAAUAAAGGGAGACAAAAGAGGAAGGUCAAUUAGUUGGAUAUGCGGACAUAGUGGUGAAUGUCGACUCUCUAUGAUUUGCAUGGAGGUUUUGUCGCAGGCAAAAGAACACCCGAAAUGCCAAAACUUAACACAAUAGAACAUUUAAGUACCAAAAGUUAAGAAAGUGGUACUUAAGUGCCACUUUCUUGAAAAAUGAGACAUUUGAGUGUCACCUCUGGUGAACCCCAUUGGAAAUCUUAUGUGAUAAUUUUUUAUUAAUUUUGCUCACCUACGUGGCUUGCUAGAGAGCCGACUUAGUAAAGAAAUGCAAAAAUGAUGUCAUUUUGGCAUAGAUUUGAAUUAUAAAUUAAAAUUAAAAUUAAAUUAAAUUUAAAACCAAUUUUUUUUUUUUUAAAGGAAGAAGAUGAAUAGAGGCUAGCGGCUGGCGACCCUGGCCGACCCUCCCCUCACAGUCGCGACCCUUCCCAGUGACGGUGGGGAGGUGGCGGCGACAAGGGAUAAGCCCUCAACUGUUGUUCAUCUUCUUCCAUUUUUUUUAAAAAUUAGUUUUAAAUUAAAUUUAAUUAAUUUAUAUAUUACUUAUUUAGCCACGUCAACAACAAAAUGGAGUCAUUUUUGCACUUGUCUCUACACGUUAUCAUGCAAAAUAAUGUCGUUUUGCACACUUGCCUCUCCAGAAUAUUGCCACAUCAGCAUAUUGACUGGAUUUUCUCGCUGUUGUCACUUAACUAAUCUAUUUUGCUCCGAUUUUAGCACUUAAGUGUUACUUUCGUAAUUUUUAGGACUUAAGUAUCCCUGUACCAUGACACUUCAGAUGUCCCGGUAUCCUCCGUCGCAUAAAGUGAAAGAAAAUUAACUUUUCACAUGCCAUUGGACUUCUCUAUUUGCUCCUGCGAAUUGCUUAUCCAUUGCCAUGUUGCAGCUUGUUUAGUGAGUAGUUUGGCACCUCCACCUCCAUCCCCCAAUGAUUCAUUUUUGAAGGUAAGAUGAUCGAUAGCUCGUUUUACCAUAUGGAAAGAUGUCAUGUUGGAGAUGGAGAGAGAUUGUGCUUGUACUGGAACUUCAACCACUCAUGCUGGGGAACUAAUAAAAACAAAAAGAGAAGAGACUAAGGCCAUGUUUGGUAACCAUUUAAACAUGGCUAAAUUUUGAUUUUUUGUUUCCAGAAUCAGUUUGUGCCUAGAAUUGCGUAUAGUAAAAUUUUUGUUAUCGGGAACAGAUUGUGAUAGAAUCAAGAAUAAAAAAAAAAUGUGAUUCUUGUUCCAGAAUAAAAAAAAAAAAAGAAUCAAAACCAACUAUUUUCUUCUAUUUUCUUCUUCAAUUGCGCGGUUGCGACCGAUUGCCGGCAACCGAUCUAGCGAGCUCAUCGGUGGUUAGGCCGGCCUUGCCGAGAUUAGGUGAGUCCCACCUAGCCUUGCGACACCAACCCCACCACCUAGCCCCAGUGAGGCUCAUUGGGGCUGGGCAAGCCUCACGACGCCAGCCCCACCACCCAGCCCCAGUGAGGCUCACCUAGCCCCACCAGUAGCCAGGCAGUCCUCGCCCAGCCCCAGCAAGGCUGGCUUGGAAGGCCGGCUUGGAAGAAGAAGAAGAAGAAGAAGAAGGAGGACGAAGAAGAAGAAGAAGAAGAAGAAGAAGAAGAAGAAGAAGAAGAAGAAGAAGAAGAAAUCAAUGAGUACAGUACCAAACACAAUUUUAUUCAAGAAUAAAAAAUUUUGGACAGUUACCAAACGGCUUAAAAUGCUUAGAAUAUGUUCCCGGGAACAGAAUAAAAAAAAAAUCAUUUCUGAUCAGAAUCUACUCCCAGGAACAGAAUCGUUACCAAAUGUGUCCUAAAAUAUUGAGAUCCUUUCCGUGCAGCAGAGGGUAAUGUCACAUCUUCACUUGGUCCAAAUGAGAGAGUCAUAAGCCAAAUUCAAACCAGCGACGGGAUGUGUUUUUACUACCUUCCUUUUGUCCUUUCCUUCUUCUCUGAGCUAAGCUUUCAGCUGCAACUUCCGUCGCACCGUCGCGAACUAGAGGUCGCGGACCUCCACUGUAUUUGCGUGCUACCCCGCUGGUCCCUCCCUCCCUCUUUAUUCUCCCUGAUUCGAUGCCAUGGAGGUCCACCUUGGAUGUGAGGUCACUGACCAUCACCUUCACCGAUUUAGAGGCUCAUGACCUUUUUUAUAUUUUCGUUCGAAGUCCAUGACGUUGUGAGAUCUAAGAAGGCGUGACUAAGACGAGUAGUGGAGGCAGGCUAAGGGAGAUAGAAAGCAGGAAAGAGAAUGUUAGGGUUCUAUGGCGUACGAUGCGCAAUUGCAUAAAGUAUUUUUGAGGUGACAAGACAAGGUCCGAUUAUCCUCUACUCGUAGAAGAUCCAUAUGCAACAACGAUAAAGAGAAAUGACCAUUAAAAAAGAAAACUUCCUUAACUAGGGUUUCAACUUUGCGAUUAGGCGAUGAUCUAAUGUGUCAUAAACACUCUACGUUAAAACUUUGAUGGCAACAUUAUAUUUCUUGGGGAAAAAUUGUCCAAAACAUUCUAAACUUAUUAUUUGGAGAUCAGCUUAAUCCUAAACUUUUCAAUUGUGUCAAUUUAAUCUUAAAUCUUUUAAUAGUUUGCUAAUUUAGUCUUUUGGUCAAUAGUGGCUGGAAACCGUUGACAUGGACAUUAACUGGUUGUCAAUUGACCUUCAUGGCAUUGCUAGCAUUAAAGUGGAUAACUUUUGCAUUUUUUUUCUUCUUCUUUUUUUCCUAUUUUUUACGAGGCUAGACACAAGUGAAAUGAAAAAUAAUAAAGAAGUGUAAAAAUUAUCCAUAUAAAUAUUAACCAUGCCACAUCAAAUAGUCAAUAGCUAGCUGGCAUUCAUAUCAUCGAUUUUUUUUUUGUCAAAAUUAACAAUUAGUAUUAAAUUGACAUUAUGGAAAGGUUUAAAGUUAAAUUAGUAGUCUUAUAAUAGGUUCAUGACCUUUUAGAUAAUUAACCCCUUUUACAGUAUUCUAACAUUUAUUAUCCAAUAUUAAGCUUCUAAUUUGAAAAAGUAAAACUCAAACUCUAUGCCUAAACCACCCCAUCCCCCUUUGGGUUGCCGUUGCGCGUCAUCUUCAGCGCUCGAUCCCUAUGACAUGAUCGAAGUUGCAUGAAAAUGAUAUGAAAAGGCGAGGUGCGCACGGGUACAUUUGCGCGCGUGUGCAUGGGUGCGUAUGUUUGACCUAUCCAUAUGAGAUUUGUAGUUUCAUGAAGACGGUCCGUAUAGGGUAGACAAUUAUCAAAAGAAAAAAAAAAAUCCUUAGGUUAUUGCACUUUAACCAAUUCAAUUAUAAACAUUACUUUUAAAAUAAAGUUCAAAAGGUCGAUGGGGCCGCUGACCAUUGGCCAAGGGACGGUGAAGGUAAUCUGGCACCAAAUCUAAUGAGGCCAGGGCUAGCGACCCUCGUUGGCCACAAUGAAGGCUUGUGACGCAUUCACUAGCCAUGGUGAGGGGCUGUGACCCCUCAUUUGUGGCUGACAAGGGCUUCACGACCAUCACCCAAGGCUCCACAAGGACCAUUGGCCCUCGGUCAGUGGUUGGUGGAGGUUGCCAGCCCUUAGCCAAGCUACUGGCCCAUUGAACCCAAAAAGAAAGAAAAUAAAAGAAAAGAAAUAUAAAAAAUUCCAAAACUUCGCAUUUUUUUUUGGACAUGGACUUAAUUGACAAAACUUAAAAAUAAUUAGGAUUCAAUUGAUAAAAUUAACAAAAGGGCAAUAGGUUUAGAACCUUUUGGAUAUUUUUUUUCCCUAAAGAGUGAGAUUUCAUGGGUUCUUCUUUUGAGAGUGACAAAAUCUUUGAGUGUGAAAAGCCUUAAAGAAAUUCUUUGAUCUGAGUUUGGGAGGAGGAAUCCUUGGAAAUCAUGGCCUCUGAAGUCGGUGCAAGUGUGGCAUCCAUUAAGUCCGUUCAACUUAACACCUGAUCUCGACUCAAUUUGAUUAUGCACAACCGGAUACAUGAACUCAAUUGAGCAUUUAACUUGAGCCCUGUUUAGUUAAAAAUAGACAAAGUCGCGUUCCACUCAAACAAUGAAUUUUAACUGUCUUAUUGUAAGUUGUUCCGUGGACUUUUACUUAGCUGGGUUUCUACGCCAUGCCCCUAAAUAAUCCACACACACACACACACAAAAUUGCACUCAACCAAACUCGAAUAGCAAGCGAAGAUCUUAACCUAAGCUCGAACUUAAUCAUGAAGCCCUAGGUGGCAACAGUGUACUUAUAAAUUAGUAGGUACUACAAUGUAUGAAUUUUUCUAAAAUAUAUAAAAUUUCAUCUACUUGAUUAAGCUCGCGACUAAGAAAGUCUGAUGUAAGCAUUUUCAACCUCAAACUGGACUCAUAAGGUAGUACUCUAGUUACUUGACAUCGACCUGAACUCAAGGAUAAUCAAGUCGAGCCGGACUAGCAUACGAACCAAGCUCAAGUAGCUCUCCCAUGGCAGCUUGAACCACUUACUUUCCUACCUUACUUUAUCCUCCACUUUUGUCGUGAAUCCAAUCAUAGAGACCCGCUCUCGUCGAUCCACUCUAGCUUCACGACAGACAAGAACGUGUAGGCGGAAAAGAAUAAAAGGGACUUAUAACGGUAAUGGGUGAUAGCGACAUGCAAAAAUGCGUCAUGAAAAAGACAAGUCGGGGAUUGUACAGCAGUCUCCGCGUCGGAUAAAUCUGUCUUGGCGUGGUCUUUUAACUAUUAUCUGUACCACUAGCCGAACAUCCAAUGGUCUGGUUCACCGAGUCUGUACAUAGGGCAGGUCGUAUCUCAUUGCAUUAUCGGGCUCCUACAUCACUCCUUGCAUCUCUCCGUCGAACAACUUCCAAGCUUUUCAGAGACCAUCAUGGCUUGCUCAACUGCAGCGACGACGACAAUGUCCAGAGUACUGCUGUUCCUGGUCUUGUUCUGGGCUCUCUUUGCGGGCUUUGAUGGUCGUGUUCUUCAUGCGGCAUUACCAGCUACGUUAGGGAAUCAGAUGAACAGUGGUCAUCGCCACACCUUUCGUACUGCGGAUGGUGGUCACAAGCUUCGUGUCGGCACGAGGAGAUCGAUCCUCCUCGAUAGGGCUGCACCCAGAGGACCCGAUCCACACCACCAUUGACAAUAGCCAUCGAUCUUGCGUGGCUAUGUGUGACCCUCGGGAAGAUCCCAAUAUCGCAUGCAUACACUAAAGGAGUCGAUUAUAAUAAGUGUUUUGUGUGGUGAAGAUCACUUACAUGUCACCAGAUUUGAUCCCUCCAGUUCAGUCGUGGUGGAGGCGUGGAGUCCAAAUCCAUUUAUAAAAUAAGAUGUUUAAGAUUUUUUUUAUCAGUUCAAUUGUACGCAUUUCGAAUUUCUUAUAACAUUAAUGAGAAAUAUUUUUCAUGAGUUCUAGGUGAACGUGGAAAGUUUUCAUGUAAAAUGUGUUAUCUAUUAAGAAUGAUCAAGAGUUUAUAUAUGUAUCGAUUUUCCCGAUAUAGUCGAUGUUCAUAUUUUUAAGUAAUCUUUAUUCAUAAGAUGCGAUCCAUAUUGAUAGUUAUGUAUCAAAAUACAUGUGUUUAAUUCUCCCAACCACAAGAAGUUAUUAUAGGGACCUAGCAUUAUAUUUCCCACAUUCUUGAUCACCUAUUAUGCUUCACUAACUUUCUAAUAAGUGCCGACUGACAAGUUCAUUUUCUUUUCCUAAUAAAUGCCUUGUAAUAUAAUCUUUUAUGACUAAAUGUAUUUCGCAAUCCUGCCUGAAUUGGCCUUGCCGUGGGAUCAAGCCACCAGACCCAUGAUUGAGUCUAAUUCUAAAACAAGAGGAGUUUUUUUUUUUGGUCAACCCCGAAUUGCCCAGCCCUAACAAUUGUUCAAUUAAUAAUAUAGGUGGAACCUAAGUAGACCUGAAACCAACCCUAGAACUUGUGGUUCUAAGGUAUUUAUAAUAAGUUUUGAGUUCCUAAAAAAAGAGAGAGCAUGUUUCAAUGAAUAGGCUUUAGGUGGAAUCUGUAAGAAAUCUAAAACUGCUCACCCCUUACAACUCCAGUCAACGAAUGCGUAGGGGAAGGAAAAAUAACUUUCUCCACUAACAAAGGGGGAAUUAAUAAAACAACCGAUUUUAUUUAUCAAGGGUCUCUUGCUUGUUUUUGAAACAAACCCUACUAACUUUCUUUUUACAGCGAUGCGCGAUUUUAAAAUUCCCUUAUUAAAGACGUUUAACAAAUUUUCCUCGUUAUAGGAAACACUCAUCAAUACAAAGAAGGUAUUUCUAAUGCAUUUCUUAACGUGAUUCCUCAGUUUGGUCGGAUCGAUUAUUGCAUGAGAAGAAUUACCUUUUUUAAGAAGAUGAAUUAAAAUAAAAUAAUUGUAAAUGGUAGGAGUCUUUGUAAUUUCCUAAGCAUUUAAGCAAUUAUCCAUAUAUAGCAAGACUCUGAUGUAAAAAUGGCCCUUUUUUUUAGGGAAAGAUUUAAUUAAGGAAGGCGAGAAGAGCAACAUGAUUUAUCUAUCGAUUUGGUUGCCUUGAUAAAAUACAAGGAGAUAAAAUUAAUAAUAUCCAAUAUGAAAUAUGAAACAAAAAUUAACACGCUGAGAAAACGAAAAAAAAAAGCAACAAAAAAAAAAAGAAAAAGGGCAAAAAGGAAAGUGGAGAAGAAAAAUAGCUCUCCUUUCGAACUAAUAUCCCAUAUAUUUUUCCCAUUUGGCUCAUUAAGGGUCAGUUCGUUUCAUAAAAAACAACUUUCGGGAAAAUAUUUUCUGGAAUUUCCAAUGUUCGGAUCGUGAAAAAUAGAUGGUCAAAUAAAAUUGUUUUCUGAUCAAUGAAAAAUCUCCCCAUCAAAUUGUAGAAAAUGAUUUCCUCUUUCCAAAAGAGGAAAUCAUUUUCCCAUCCUUAUGCACGCACUGUCAUGUGCUGCUUCUUUCCUUUCUCAUGAAACCCUUAUGAUCUCAUCUCCUCCUCCUUCGACAUCGACGAUCAACAGCGGCGGAGCAUCCCCUCAUCUGGCGGUGCUGGAUCUCCGCCCUCACGAAGCCUUGGGUUUUAUUUAUUUAUUUAUUUAUCUCGUCCUCCUCCUCCUUUGACGUCGACGAUUAGCAACAGCGGAGCGUCCCCUCAUCCAACGGUGCUCGAUCUCCAUGACGUGCCCUACUUCCUCUUCAUUGCUGGUCGCCGGCCACACCACAAGCCAGCUCGAGCCUCACCCCAGGCCAGUGAGGCUCCGCCUAGCCCGAUCUAGUGAAGCCGAGCUCGAGCCUUGCCAAAUCAGGUGAGGCGGAGCUCUCACCGGCUUGGGACGGAGCUUGGGCCUAGCUAGAUUCAACGAGCUAGGCGAGGCUCGAGCCUCGCCCAAGCUCGCUAGAGGUUCGCCUAGCUCUGGUGAGCUGUGAGCUCGCCGAAUCUGGCAACAGAGCUCGGGCUCCCGAUCUAGGUGAGCUUGAGCUCCGCCGCCAGAUUCGAUGAGCUCGCGGCUCGCCAAAGCCUAGCGAAACUCUAGCAAGCUCAGGCGAGAUCGGCUGAGCCUCGAGCUUGCCGGAUCUAGCGAUUGUGUCUUAGUCAGCCGAUGAGCAGUUGGUCAUUGUCAGGCAUGUGGCAGCGGAGGAAGGAGGAGUAAGGAGGAGGAAGGAGGAAGGAAAAGAAAAAGAAAGAAAAAAGAAUAAAUAAUAAAUAAUUCGAUUUUUUUAAAAUACAAAUAAUUAUAAAAAAUCAUUUUUUAAAAAUAUAUAAUAUAAAACUAAUUUUUUGGUCAAUUAAAAAUAUUAAAAUUCAAUUUUUCACUUAAAAUUUAGGUUUCGGCCGAACACCGGAAAAUAGUCAUUUUCUUGAAAAAUGACUUCUAGGAAAAUGUUUUCCGGAAACAUGAUAUGCCACAUAAGACGAUUAGUGUAUACAUCAAUGAAUGCUGGUCAAAGUUGGCCUGAAAGGUUAUAUUAGCAAAUUAUUAAAAUAUUUAAGAUUAAAUUGACUAAAUUAAAAGGUUGAUGAUGGAAUUUUUGGUAAUUAUCACACUAUUGUGGUCAAGAUAUCAAUCGAGAAUAAGAAAGCAGAAAAUAGAACUAUGGAAUUUUUAGUAUAAUUUGAUGUAUAAAAAAAGCAUACAUGGAGAGUCUAUUUAAAGGCUUUUAAUACAUGACUAUCUAAGGAAAUCAAAUGAGAUAUGCAUGAUCAAAAUAGAUAUAGAACAUUAGAGGGGAAAUAGAAAGCGGCUGAUGCUACUAGCUUGUGAAAUAGUAAUUGAGCGACACGGCCUAUAUUGCUAGCGUCAUAGCAUUAAACGGCCUAUAUGGCUGGCUUAAGAAAAAAGUUACUAAGCAAUGCAUCAUGUGCGGCUGGUAUUGAAAGAAAAGCCACAUUUGUGAUAAAGACUCAACUAGGCAACACACUUUGUAUAGUUGAUCAUCAUGGAAUGGAUUAAAUUAAGCACUUCUUUAGAUUAGACUUGUGUACACAAAGUGAACAUUGGUGACUAUUGAGCGAUGUUAACGUUGGAUUUAUUUGGGUAUGCAUUGGGGUGCUCGAGAUGCAUAGGUGCAGUGGGUGCAACAUGCACCCAGUACACUAGCAUUAUCUUAGGAAAUGAGGCUCUAAUACCAAGUUGAGAAUGAGAGAACAGAAAAAAGAAUUGUGGAUUUUUUUUGUUGUAUAUUUCAAUGAAUCGGAAAUGGAAAAAGUACAUCCCAAGUACCAAAACUUGGCACGAGUGAACACAUAAAUGUCAAAACUUCAAAAAAGUAUACUUAAGCACUAAUUCCAAUGAAAUAUGUUGGAAAUUUGACAUGGCAUUAUUUUAUUAAUAAAACUAGUCUAUGUGGCUUGUUGGAAUGUACACUCAACAUUCUUAUCCCAAAAUGAUGUUGUUUUGCCCCUAAAUUAUAUCUUUAAUAUAAAUAUAAAUAUUAAUUUAAUUUAAUUUAAUUUAAAACUAAGUUUAAAAAAGAAAAGGAUUAGAUCUAUGGCCAUGGAGGCCCUCGCCACCGUCACCCCACCAUCACAAAAAGCGGCAAGCUAGGGUUGCCGGCCAGUGGCCGAGGCCCGGUGACCCUGGUCGACACUUGCCCCAUUAUUGCCGACUCUUUCCAAUGAUGGCGAGGGCCUUGAUAGCCCCAAAUCUAAUCCUCUUUUCUUUUCUUUUUUAAAUUUAGUUUUUUAAAAUUAAAUUAAAUUAAUAUUUAUAUUAAAAAUCGAAUUUAAACCUAAAUGGCGUCAUUUUAGUUUAUAUAGUCACGUCAGUAUCACAUGGAUACUUUAAAAAAAAAAAAAGAAUUACCACAUCAAUUAAAAAUCUUACUAGAAACUGUUAUGUCAGCAAUUUGACCGGAAAUUUUUGCCCUUAACACUUAAGUAUUCCUUAUUCUUCUUCUUCUUCUUUUCUGAUUUCAGCAUUUAAAUAUACCUUUUGGAAAUUUUAGCGCUUAAAAUCUUUGUCAUCCUAUAUAAAAGAGUCCAUGGAGUUAAGUUUUAAUAGAUAACUAUUAAAGGAAAUAAAAUAAAAUAGACAUAGUCAAAAAAUAUAUAGAAAAUCAGAGGAGUAUCCUAUAUUGACGAAUUGAUCAGAUAUGGAAUUGAAAUUAGAAAUCUCGUCGAGAUAUCCUGUCAAUGUCAGUAAUAACGGCUGCAGGAUUGACCCAGCAUGUAAAGUUCCGCUCUCCAACUCGCAAGUGCUUCACGUGAAAUCGUGUGCAACCGAAAAAGGGGAAAUAAACUGAAACAACAAGCUACAGACAAAUUUAAACGUCGUGAAACAUGAGGCAACUGAGAUAUUAUUUGAUACCGAUUUAUAUGAGACCAAUUGAACUCAAAAGUUCAAGUGGUCAGGUUUGACGUUAUCUUAAGUAAUUGCGUAUGAUAAGGAACGCCGAUCGAGAUAAAAAUGAAUGAUGACCAAUGUAGGACAAAUCAAAUCACAGAAAACCAUCCUCAUUCGAAGGUAUUUCCCCAUAUAUUUUUUUCAUUUGGCUCAUUAAAAGGUGCUUUCCUUUCCAUGACUUUCACCAGAUGGGAAAAUAUGGCGAACUCUAGCGAAGGUCUAUUACGUGGAGCCACGCUCUUUAUUAAAUAAUUUAGAAGAAAGAAGAAAAAGCAUAUGUUGAUCUCAUCUUGAUCCAGGCGCCAAAUUUUCCUACCUUACUUACCAAUCAAAAAGAAAAAGGGGAAAAAGAAAAGUUCCCUCCGAAACAAAAACUGGAGAGGAAAAAAAAAAGAGAAAUUGUUCGGUUCUGGAUAAUUGUUGACGUGAUAUACGAAAUGCAUCCGGAAUUGUAAUUUUGUGUCUACAAUUUGGCAUUAGCAGUACAUGUAAGUAUACGGGAAACCUGCAAUCUAGAGUUUUUUCUUUUCUUUUCUCUUUUGACAGUGCUAUCUAGAGUUGAUAGCACAUUUUUUCACUGAAACGAGACUAUCUAUGAUCAUUAUUGUAAGCUUCACAAAUAAGGGGUGUCUUUUGAUAAAAAUCCUUUUUUAUAAUCCAAAUGCAUCCGCUACCUACAUCCUCAUAAUGUUGUAAUAUAAUGCAGAAACUAAUGAACUCUACAAUUAAAUAAACAUGAGAAUAUGAAAUUACUAGAGGAAUAAAUGAGGAAUAAUAAAGAAUAUUGAAUAUAUAUUUGGUGAAAUAGUCAACUGCAAAUAAUCCAAUAAACAAUUGGAGAAUUAUAGUGAUAUAAUCACUCACAUGCUCAAGGAUUUUCUAAUUCUACAUUACACCCAAACCCGCAGUGUUUAGUCAAGCAGCACUACGGGCCAAACAGCACCUCCACAAGUGUUAUUCUCCUCUUCAGACCAAAAACGAUAUCCCACAAACUUUGUUUAAUAAUAAAGAAAGUGAGACCCAAACCAGAAAAUUGGCCACACCAAUAGAAAAAACUUCUUUUUGUUAAUUCUUUGAAGAUUUCGGCCAAGAGUAAUAGGAGUUUACUUCCUUAUUUUUUCACACAGUAAGGCAACAACGGUCUGGACUUUCCAAUCUAAUUUCAGAUUAAAUUUUGUUCAACGAUGCAAACUCAAGAUAUAGUGUAACACGUGAAAUACUUUGCAAGUCUCAUGACAUAAGAUGGCAUGGUCCUGCAUUAUCUUUUGAUGAGGAUUUCAAUUACAAUUGAAUGACUUAAUAAAUCUUUUUCCCCGAUAUUCCCCUCCUAAGAUUCUCCACCAAAGGUUUUUAAAAUAAAGGGAGACAAAGAGGAAGGUUAAUCAGAUGGAUAUCUGGAUAUAGCGGUGGACGUGAACUCUCUAUAAUGUGCAUGGAGGCUCCGUCGCCAACAUUCUCUAGCAUGCGCAUGGGCAAGUGCAACCGUGAUUAGACUAAGGAGAUAUUCCUGACGAUCUAGUGAAAAAGAACAUAAAUCCGCAUGCCAUUGGAAUUCUCUCUUUGCUCCGGCAAAUUGCUAAUCCUUUGCCGUGUUGCAGCUUCUUUAAUGAGUAGUUUGGCACCUCCACCUCCAUCUCCCAACGAUUCAUUUUUGAAGGAAAGAUGAUCGAUGGCUCGUGUUACCAUAUUGUAAGAUGUCAUGUUGGAGAUGGAGAGAGAUGGCGCAUGUAGUGGAACUUCAGCCACUCAUGCUGGGGAACUGAUAAAAACAGAAAAGAAGAAGAGACUAAUAGAUUGAGACCUCCGUGCAGCAGAGGGCAAUGUUACAUCUUCACUUUGUCCAGAUGAGAGUCAUAAGCCAAAUUCAAACCAGCGAUUGGAUGUGUUUUUACUACCUUUCUUUUGUCCAUUGCUUCUUCUUCUCUGAGCAAAGCCUUCUGCUGCAAAUUCCGUCAGGCCAUCGCGAACUAGAGGUUGCGUUCCCCCACUGAAUUUGCACUCCACCCCGCUGGUCCCUCCCUCUUGUUCUCGCUGAUUCGAUGCUAUGUGGCCCGCCUUCGAUAUGAGGUCACGGACCACCACCUUCAUCGAUAAGGUCCAUGACUAUUUCUUUCUUUUUUGGUCGAAGUCCAUGACGUCGUGAGAUUUAAGAAGGUGGGACUAAGGCGAGUAGUGGUGGCAUGCUAAGUGAGAUAGAAAGCAGGAAAGAGAAUGUUAGGGUUCUAUGGCGUAUUGUGCGCAAUUGCAUAAAGUUUUUUUGAGAUAAGACAAGACAAGGUCCAAUUACCCUCCACUUGUAGAAGAUCCAAGAGAAAUAACCAUUAAAAAGAAAACUUCCUUUUCUUAUUGUUCUUUGAUAAUAGUUAGGUUGAAAAUUUAACAAGAAUUUAAACUAGGGGUGAGCAUGGUUUAGGAUAGAACCUGAAACUUGAGAACUAGACUAAUGAGAACUUGUUCGAUUUCAAGUUCCAAAAAUUAGGGAGUUUAUUUCUUUGGAUAGGUUCUAAGUUCUAAAUUGGUCGAACUCAGAACCUAAAACCUAACAUCUAGAACAAAUUUUGGUGUUUUUCUUGAUUCAUGUUUUCACGCGAUUCAAUCUAGAACCAUUAGUCUAAGCUUCCAUCUUUUCGUAUGUCUAAAUAUAAGUUAUGUCCAGUAAAUUGUAGCAACAAGUAGUGGUAAUUAAAAGUGAUAAUUCAUUGUAAUCGUUCAAUUAAUAACAUAUUUAAAACCUAAGUAGACUCUGGAACUAACCUUAAGGUCUUAGAUUCCAAAAUAUGAAAGGUAGGUUCGGGUUGCAAAAAUGAGGAAAAUGUUUCAACAAAUAGAUUCUAAAUUUUAAGUGGAACUUGUACAAAACUUGAAACUGCUUACCCUCUAGUUUGAACUUCAAGAUUAAAUGAUGAUCUAACGUGUUAUUGACACUCUUUCCGUUAAAAUUUUGAAUGGUAACAUUAUCGAAAAUUAUAAAAAGUCAUAAAUCUAUUGUAUAGGGUUAACUCAGUCCUAAACCUUUUAAUUGUACUAAUUUAGUCUUAAAUCUUUUGAUGAUUUGCUAAUUUAAUUAUUCUAGUCAAUUUUAACUGGAAAUCGUUGACAUGAACGUUGGUUAGUUGCCAAUGGUCUUUUGUCACAUUGCUACUACUAACAUGGACAGUUUUUGCAUUUUAUAAUUUUUUUUUCUUUUUUUUUCCCCUUUCGUUUUUACAAGGCUGUUCCCAAGCAAAAGGAAAAGGAAAAGGAUUAAAAAAACAGAACAAGAAAGGAACAAAAGGAAAAAAAUGCAAAAAUUAUUCCCAUAAGUGUUGGUCAUAUCUAUAAGACAGCCGAUAGUCAAUUGACGUGUUUAGGAGUAAAUUAGUCCAAUUGAAAAAUUUAGGACUGAAUUGAUUAUUGUAUAAUACGUUUAUGAUCUUUUGAACAAUUAUCCCCAUUUUAAUGAUAUUCUAUCAUUUGUUAUCCGAUAUUAUGAUUCUUACUUUUAACUAAUGUUAUAAUUUUCCUUCAUUCCUUAUUGAAGAGGACAUCCUCCUUCGCACUCUAGUUACUAAGGGUGCGAAUGGUAACGUUUCUGUUCUUUUUUUGUUACAGGGAACAGAAACAAAAAAAAGUGUUUCUGUUCCGGGGAACAAUUUUUGAACAAAAGAACUCGUUUGGUAACGUUUGUUCCGGGAAUAAAAAAUGAAUAGAAACAUGUUUGGUAAAUUUUAUUCUUUUUUUAUUUCUUUUAAUUUUUUAAACAUUUUUAUUUUAUUUUUCAUUUUUUCCUUUCUUUUUUAUUUUUUCUUUUUUCGGCCGGUCACCGGCCUCCGGCGACCAGCCGAUGGGGUCGGCAGCCUUGCCUAGAUCUGGCGAGGCCGAGCUCGAGCUCGCCCAGAUCUAGCGAGCCCGAGCUCGCCCAGCCAAGGCGAGGCUCGGCCUCGCCCGCGCCGGCGACGCUCGGGCUCGCCGGGGGCCGGCGACGCUCCGGCGAGGUCGCCGACCCUCGAGGGCGUUGCCGGCCCUCGACGGCCGGUCGCCGGCCAUGGCCGAGGCCGGCGACCGGCGAAAGAAAAAAGAAGAAAAAAAGAAGAAGAAAAGAAGAAGAGAAGAAGAAGAGAGAGAAGAGAAAAACGUUUCUUCAUUUUUGUUUCUGGAACAAGAAACAACAAAUUGUUGUUUCUUUUUUUUGUUCUUAUUUUGUUCCGGAAACAAAAAAACAAAAAAAGAACAGAAACACAACCAAACGCAUUUCUGUUCUUUUUUUGUUCCCGGGAACAAAAUCCGUACAGAAGUGUUCCAGAAACGUUUCUUUGGAACGUUUCCAUGCACGCCCUAAGAUACAACACGCGCACCGUUCACAUAAAAACUGGACUUCAGAAAAGAACGAAAAAGUAAAACUCAGAACUCCAUGCCUUUCCCUGGCCCAUCCCCUUUUGGGUUGCCGUCGUGCGUCACCAUCGGGUCGUUCGUUGCACCACCUCUCUCUCUCUUUCUUUCUGCGCGUGCGCGUGUUUGACCUCUGUAUCUGAGAUUUGGACAGAUUUUUUAAUAAAAUUUAAUAACUUUUAAUAAUCCUUAUUUUCUUCCUUUUUAUUCUCUUUUUUACUUCAAAGGGCCGGCGGGCCACCUAACUAAGGGCUAGCUACCCUUGGGUGAGGUCAUGGCCCGCACCCAAGAGCAAUAGGGAUCAUCGGUCCUUUGUUAGUCCAAACUAAAAAAGAUAAAGGAAAUAAAAAAAAUCAAAAAGUUGGCCAAAUAAACUUAAUUUGUAAAACUUAAAAAGGUUUAGGACUCAACUAAGAAAAUUAAAAAGGUUUAGAAUUGAAUUAGUAAACAUGCAACAUGUUUAAAAAAUUUUGGAUAAUUUUCCAUAGAAAGAGAUUUAAUAAGAUUUUUGUUUUGAGAAUGAUAAAAUCAUUGAGUGUAAAAAGCCUAAAAGAAAUUGUUGAUUUGAGUUUUUUUUUACUUGGGAGGACAAAAAAAUUUUGCUGGAAAUUAUGGCCUUCAAAGUCGAUGCAAGUAGGGCUAUAAUAUUAAUAGAGCCCAUUAAGUCUGUACGACUUAAUAUCCGUUGUCAACUCAAUUUGGUUAUGCACAACCGGACUAACAUACAAACCAAGCUCAAUUAGCUUCUUCCAUAGCAGCUCGAAUCAUUUACUUUCCUUACUUCAUCCUCCACUUUUGUCGUGAAUCCAAUCUUAUAAGCCCGCUCGUCGAUCGACUCUGGCUUCACGACAAACAAGAAUGUGCAGGCGGAAAAGAAUGAAAGGGAAGCUCACCAAUGACGGUAAAGGGUGACAGCGACAUGCAAAAAAGCGUCGUCAAAGAGACAAGUCGUGGAUUGUACAGCAAUCUCCGCGUCGGAUAAAUCUGUCUUGGCAUGGUUAUUUAACUAUUACCUGUGCCACUAACCAAGCACCCAGUGAUCUGCUUCACCGAGUCCUAUAAAUAGGGCGGGUCGUGUCUCUUUGCAUUAUCGGGCUCCUACAUCACUCCUUGUGUCUCUCUGUCGAACAACUUCGAAGCUUUUCAGAGACCAUCAUGUUUUGCUCAACCGCAGCGACGACGACAAUGUCCAGAGUACUGCUGUUCCUGGUCGUGUUCUGGGCUCUCUUUACGGGCUUUGAUGGCCGUGUUCUUAAUGCAGCAUUACCAGCUACGUCAGGGAAUCAGAUGAACAGUGGUCAUCGCGACAACAUUUAUGUUGUGGGCGGUGGUCUCGAGCUUUAUCCCGGCACGAGGAGGUCGAUCCUCCUUGAGGGGGCUGCACCCGAAGGAUUUGGUCAAGUUGCACCCGGAGGACCUAAUGGACACCACAACUGGUAAUAGCCAUCAGUCUUGCAUGGCCUUGUUUGACCCUUGGGAAGAUCCAUCUAUUGCAUGCAUCCAUUAAAGGAGUUGAUUAUAAUAAGUGUUUUGUGUGGUGACAAUGACUUAUAUGUCAACAGAUUUGAUCCCUUCAGUUCAGUCGUGGAGGAGGCGUGGAGUCCAAAUCCAUUUAUGAAAUGGACGUUUAAGAUUUUCUUGAGCAAUUUGAGUGUACGCAUAUCCAAUUUCUAAUGACAUUAAUGAGAACUACUUUUCAUCAGUUCUAGGUGAACGCAAAAAGCUCUCAUGUAAAAUGUGUGAUCUAUUAGGAAUGAUCAAGAGUUUACACACGAAUUGAUUGUUCUUGAUAUUAUCGAUGUUCAUGAUCUUAAGUAAUCUUUAUUCAUAAGAUGUGAUCCAUAUCAAUAGUUACGCAUUGAAAUACAUGUGUUUAAUUCUACCAACCACAAGAAGUUAUUAUAGAGACCUAGCAAUAUUUUUCCCACGUUCUCGAUCACCUAUUAUGCUUCACCAUAUAUCAUGCGCUAACCAACAAGUUCAUUUUCUUUUCCAAAUAAAAGCCUUGUAAUAAUCUUUUUAUAACUAAAUGUAAUUCACAAGCCUACCCAAAUUGGCCGUGGCAUGGGCUCAGACCACCAGACCCAUGAUCUAGUCUAAUUCUCAAACAAAAGGAGUUGAAAUUAAUUGGUUUGUCAAUUAUCUAUCAGUCUAAAAAUCCUGUAUAUAAUCUUUUUAUUGCACCAACAAUAUGAUGCUGGAAUUUUUUUCCAAAGCCUAAGGCAUUUGGAGAACCCUCUCUUCUAUCAACAGUCAAGAAAAUUGAUAUGGUUGAGAUGGGUGAGAGUUGUUUUGAGUGAUUAUCAAUAAUAAUCACUAAAAAGAUUCACUCACACAAAGAAAAAUCUCAAAUAUUCAUAUCAAAAUUUACCAUCUUCCAUUUAAGAAUUCGCCUUAUUAUAUAAAUGGAUUAUUACAUAGGAAAUAGACUGAAAAUUGAAGAAAAGAAACCAUCUAAUUAAUUUAGGACAUUGGAGCUAGAAAAAAACAUAAUAAAGUCAUAGGAACUAUAAAUGCAUUGAAACACCCAGAGACUUGAACUUUUGAUUGGGAUUAUUAUUAUAUGGGAAAUAGAUUAAUAUGACAUUGGAACUAAAAAAACAUUAUAAAAUCCUAAUAAUUAUAAAAUGCAUUAAAACACCGAAAGACUUGAACUUUUGACACUUGAAACCUACAACACACUUAUAACUUUAUUGAUGUUGACAAGAUGCAAAGUAAUUAAAAUAGAUGUUAAAUUCGUUCGUCUCUGUGGGCAUAACAAUAGACAUCUUCAAAGAAUGCCAAACAACAAAAAAAUUGUCUAGAACAGCCUUUGGUUGUUAGAUAGUCUAUUAAUAAUCUCGGAUUGACAACAAACUUGUAUAUUGAUGUCUCGGUAGCUAAUCAACAACCAUGAAAUUGGCAACUUGUCCAUUGAAUAGACAACUUUUCCGAAUAAUCAACAUCUUUCACUUGAAUCGAUUGACGAAGCCCAAUGCUCCCGCAUCAAGAAUUCUCGCUAAUACUUGUGCAUAUUGUUAUUAUUAGUGAUGAGAUAUUGACAAGCGUCCUAGUAUUAUUUACCAACUUUUUAUAAAUAGCGUACUAGCAUUUUAUUUACCACAAGCAAUGAAAAUUUAAUACAUGUGAAAAUCUAUUAAAUCUCCGAGACCCUUAUUGCAAGGACAUUUUCAAUAUGCUACUAUUGUUUACAACGAUGACUAAGGGCCUCAUCAAUAACGUAUUGGAGAAGUUCCUAAUAGGAAGGGACGCGAUCAUCCGUUUAACAGAUUUUUCUGGACAUUCACCGCAACAAUUAUUAAAGGCGAAUGGCCAUUAUGAACACGGAGACUAAAGCAUAGUGAAACAUUGAAAAACUUACCAAGUAAUAUUAUCAAAAUAGUGCGACCCAUUAUUGAUGCACACGUGAGAAUACUUCGCUAACUCGUUCAGACAUUGACCGCUUGGCUAAUUAAUGACAAUCGUCAUCAUAAGAACUAAACCAAACCAAAUCGAACCGUACUGACUAUGAAAAAGUUACUUACUAGAACUACCAAGCAAUUAAUAGCUGUUUACCUAUUAAAAAAAUUACCGAUUGUUUAACUAAUUAAGUGUUUACCAAUUCCUAUUUUAGUGAAAAGUAAGCUUUGACAAGAGAAAGAAGAAAGGGAGGGGGGAUGAUUUCCCUCUGUCAGAAAAUGGAUAUCAUUUCUCUCAUUUUUAGAAGGUUGUUUUUCAUUGACUGAAAAAUAUUUUCUUUGACCACUCAUUUUCCACGCCCCAAAUACCGGCUAUCGAAAUCACUGGGGGUUCGCCCCAGUGGCCACCCUUCCAACUUGGAAGGGGGAGGUUGGGGGUUCAAAUCCCCACCUUCUUAGGGGGGAUUGGGAUGGGGAUGAUUUCAUUUCAGGAGUGGGUUUCGACUCCCACGCCCUGCAAGGAGGUAAUGACAAAAGUCUGAGAGUGAGUGUUAGAGUAGGAUUAGAGUAGGACCGACAAAAAAAAAAAAAACACCGGCUAUCGUGAGAAAGUCUUCCGCGAAACAAACACGGUCCCGUUAUACAUUUGAAAACUUAAUCGAAAUCUUGUUUGGGUGGGCUGAAACCCGGCCCAGCCCGGCCCGACCUCUCGCGGUCUCACUGGUUACGUCGCGCGUCCAUGACCAAAGCGAGGAUUGGCUUGGCUUGGGGCAACACGUCAUCCGUGGGGCCCCUUCCCCCCACCCUUGACGUUGACAUUUAUCUGCACCGGCUGACGUGGCCUCCGCGUGCUGGUCCCCGUUGGCAUCCAAUCCACUCCCUAUACUUUUAAAUUGAAUCUCUAGCGAUGCGGGCUAGGGGUGUCAAAAAAAUCCGAACUGACCCGAACACGAAAUAAGUAUAAUACAUGUUUCGUGUUCGAGUAACAAAUAUGAAAUAAGUGGAAUACAUGUUUCAGGUCGGGUUUAGGGUCGGAACAUUAUUCGACCAGGAACACGUUAACACCCCUGUUCCAAACAAGUCACCAAACACAAACAAACGUGAUUUCGAAAACCCCUCCCCUUUGGCUUCUUCUCCGACGACUGCGCUUCUUGUGGAUUCCGUUCCGCUGCCACCCUUCGGUCGAUGCGCCUCCGCCUUGCCAUCGCCGUCGCUGUCGCCGUCGUCACCCCUCGUCUCAAUGCCGGAACCCUAGCCGCUGCCAAAUCAGUCAAUCGUCGCCGUCUAGGUCUCCAUCUCUCGUCUCUGUUAAGUAUAAAGGAACAAAGAUGCUCAAUGCAGAAAGAAACGAAGAUGCUCAAUGCAGAAGCAAAAACAGAGGACUUGGAUCGCUAGUCAUAAAGUCAAAUCAGUGGCAAAGAUCUUAUAAAGAAGAUCAACCUGGAUCGAUGAUCAAUGAACGAAGAUGCUCAAGGGAUUAAUGACUCGGAUCGCCAAAGUCUUAAGAAUAGUCAAAUAGAUUCUUUCUGUUAAAACAGUUACUGUAUUCAGUUUUCCUUUGUAACUAAGUUCUGUUACAUAACCGGGUAUAAAUACUCUGCUUUGCUUUACAUAAGUAGAAAAGUAGAAAGAUAGAAACAGAGUAAGAGAGAGAAGUCGCAAGAGUUGAGAGAACAAGGUAUCAAGGUCAUCGACUAAUGCAGCAAGGAUUGCGAUACUAAAGAGAAGAAAGUUUCGGAGGAUGAAGAAUAGCUCAAAUCCGAAACACUGAAGCAAGUUAAGUACAUUUGAUCUUAGAAGAUAGAACAACAGAAGUAUAUUCAGAAUCUAUCUUUCAAUUGUACUAAGAUACAGUGAUAUGAUCAUCAUUCGGAAAUACAAAUUGUCUUCAGAGUUGUUCACUUGAUCUUGUUUGAAGUUCUUCAUCUUUCUCAGUCUCAACAUUGGAACCCUAGCUGCUGCCGAUUCCUAUUGUUUUAGUGGGAAAGCACUGGAGCUGUGGAUUUCGGUUUUUCCUUGGAGCUGCUGCGACUUCUUGCACACGCGUUUACACAACGGCUUGACGAUCCAGGGUAUUUAAAUUCGUCGGCAGGCAUUGAAGCUCUUCUCGUUCUUGGUAAGGUUUUGUUCUUCAGACGCCAUCUCUGCUCCUUUUUUUUUUUUUUUUUGUUUCUUGGAUGCUUAUCUUGAAUUGGUGUUUCUUUCUUUCUUUUGGGUAUAUCGUGGUUUUGCGGUGUCUCGUCUGGUGCUCUGGUUCUUGGUGGGUCUCUCUGUUGAUGGGUCUUUCUUGUUCGAGCUUAUCUUGUUAAAGUGAAUGGUUGGUUGGUGUGUGAAUGGAGAAUUCUGUAGAUAGGCUUCGGCGAAGCGUUUCAGGGUGACGGGGAGAGGGAAGAUUGUGCGGAAGAGAGCUGGGAAGCAGCAUCUGCUGGCGAAGAAGAACACCAAAAGGAAGUUGCAGUUGUCGAAGUUGGUGGGUUCUUUUUUUUCUUUUUUUGUGCAAUUCUUGCUGUCUUGUUGCAAUCUAGCAAGCAAAGCUCUGGUGAUUAUGAGGAGAAAUGAGCAUUUUGGUGAAAGAAAAUCAUUUCAGUUUUCACAUUUCUGUAUCUCAAAAUAUUAUGGUGGAUUGUCCACACUCCACGGUUAGAUUGUUCUCUGUGUACUCUUACAUUUUACAUGUAGGAAUCAGAUAUGGUACAGUGAUGGCUUAAGUAGCCAUUUCAAUUGUUGCAGGAUAUUGUACGCUUUUGACAUUGGAUUGAAUUGAUCUUGGUCAGAGUUCCUUUACUGAUAUUUUUGCUGCCAUGAAGCUUUGAUGACACCACAUGCACAACCCAUUUUUGGUUCCCCCUCGGGUUGGCUUAGUGUGGAUUAAUCUUGUUAUCUCAUAUCUAGAUGAGCAUUUGCUAGGAACAGUGUGGCUUUUGAUUUUGUGUGCUUGGUGUGUUCGCAUCAGCAAUCAGCAAGCAUGCCUAAGCUUGUAAGAGAAGAAGCCAAAGAGAAAGAAGUAGAACAACGAUAGAGACUUGAGAUGCAAUCACUGGCGAAGUAAACCGCGACAAUGAUGAAUGAUGAGUAGAGAAUUGAACGUUUCCAUGAAAGGAGAAUUGUUCCAUAUGCAUGUUUCUCAUUUUCUUGUCUGCAGGAUAUUUCAACAGAUUGUAAUGGUAGGUGGCAUUCUCAUCCAUGGGUUGUAGCAAGCCUUCGUCACAUUAGAUGGUCUAAUGUGAAAAAAAAAAAAAAAGAAGGUGAAAACCCAGAAACCCGACCCGACCUGACCCGUCCCAAAACACAUUAGACUAUCUAAUGUGUUUUGGGUCGGGUCAGGUCAGGUCAUAAUGUGUGACCCUUAUGUUUCGGGUCGGGUUGGGUAACAUCAAAACCUGACCCGAUCCGACCCAUUUACACCCCUAGUGGGGGCCCCCACCACAUGCUUUCGUACGAAAUUAGAAGCGGCUGUUGCAUACGCCCAUCAACAUGGCGCCGUUUUCUCGAAAUGCUGGUGCACCAACGCGGGCUGGACGCCAUCGUUUCCGUGAUUGUCCAAUCAAAUAUAUAUUUUUUCUAAUAAUUAUUACUAUUAUUUUAAUUUCUUGACGCACGCAACUCCUAAAAGCGAGCAUCGUUUAAAAGUAAAACCAAGUUUCAAGAUUUAAGAUAUGUAAGUGCCAUAUUUCAAAAAUUAGAGAAUUUAGAACUUGUCUUGAUGGAUAGAUUCCAGGAUCUAAAUAAGUAGAAUUAGAAUCUUGAAACCCGAAAUAGAUUUUAUAUUUUUCUUUAUUUGUAUUUUCGAAUGAAACUCCAAUAUUUCAUUUCGUACAAUAAUGAGUGUAUAAUUUGAAAUCACUAAUCUAAGUUUCCAUUUUAUAAUUGAGAUUAUUACUUUGUUAAUAUUUCAUCAUCAAAAGUAAUGAUUCACCACAAUCAUUAGGGGUGAGCACGGUUCCCAAUUCUAGGGAGGGAGGUUCCGAUUCCUAAUUCCUCUUUUUUUCGAAAUCGAGAAUCAAGAGCAAGAACAAAAACCAAACCCGGACCAGAAUUGAAUAAUGAUUCACCACAAUCGUUAGGGGUGAGCACAGUUCCCUAUUCUAGAGAGGGAGGUUCCAAUUCCCAAUUCCUUCUUCUUUUUUGAAAUCGAGAAUCAAGAGCAAGAACAAAAACCAAACUCAGACCAAAACUAAAUUAGGAUUCCUAAAUCUAAAAUUAUUUAUGCCUUUUGCUUUCCUUUUCACCUUUUGUGUAUUUUUUGCCUUCUACUUUUCUAUUUUCCUUUUACCAAUGCGUUUUGGUUCUUAUAGGAUUUCCAUCAUCUAAUUCACGGAACUUGACAUUAAGAGACUCCAUCCAUUUGUUUAAUUGAGUUGUGUACAUUUGUGGGUCAAUUUAGCGAGCUCUUUGCAAAGACAAACAAGAGAUGGAUUUAAGUUCAUUUCUUAUGAUUUGUUAUAUACUUUAGUGAGAUACCCAUCGGGUGAAGGAGUAAAUUUUGUUUUUUCUUUCCAUUGCUUUAUCAUUCUUCUUCGAGCAAGUAUUUUCUAAAUAAGAUAUUUGGAUAGUCUACAAGGACCUAAAUUCAUCUUUGUUCUCUUCUUUUCUUUUUUUUUUUUGGUCAGAAAUCUUUGUUCUCUUUCCUUACUUUUUUCAUGAUUGUGGCUGCAACUUACUUAUUGUUUCUCUUUAAAAGAACGUGAGAUGAAUGAAAUAACCAUGGAAAAUUCAUAUAUGAAUGAUUAUCCAAAUGCUAGAAAAAUUUGAAGUUGACAAUCAAUAGGGUUUCUAUAUGUUUCUUUUAAAAAGUUCUUUUGCCGCUCUUCCAUCAUUUUUAAGAAGCUAAGCAUGUCUAAACCAAACAUGUCUAAAUGUAUUCAUUAUUAUUGCCUUCAUUUUCGUUUUGUUUAACUAAAAAAGAAAAAGAAAAAAAAUCCGUUUGACCUUGGAACUGAUCUUGAAACCUGUGAUGGGAUAGAUUCUAGGUUUUAGAUUUUGAUAGAUAGGUUUCAGGAACUUAUAGCUGAUAGUAGGUUUCAGGUUUUAGGUGAAACAUGUAAGAAACCUCGAAUUGCCCAGCCCUAACAAUUGUUCAAUUAAUAAUAUAGGUGGAACCUAAGUAGACCUGAAACCAACCCUAUAACUUGUGGUUCUAGGGUAUUUAUAGUAAGUUUUGAGUUCCUAAAAAAAAGAGAGCAUGUUUCAAUAAAUAGGCUUUAGGCGGAAUCUGUAAGAAAUCUAAAACUGCUCACCCCUAACAACUCCAAUCAACGAAUGCGUCAGGGGAAGGAAAAAUAACUUUCUCCACUAACAAAGGGGGAAUUAAUAAAACAACCAAUUUUAUUUAUCAACAGUCUCUUGCUUGUUUUUGAAAAAAACCCUACUAACUUUCUUUUUACAGCUAUGCGCGAUUUUAAAAUUCCCUUAUUAAAGACGUUUAACAAAUUUUCCUCCUUAUAGGAAACACUCAUCAAUACAAAGAAGGUAUUUCUAAUGCAUUUCUUAACGCGAUUCCUCAGUUUGGUCAGAUCGAUUAUUGCAUGAGAAGAAUUACCUUUUUUUUAAAGAAGAUAAAUUAAAAUAAAAUAAUUGUAAAUGGUAGGAGUCUUUGUAAUUUCCUAAGCAUUUAAGCAAUUAUCCAUAUAUAGCAAGACUCUGAUGUAAAAAGGGUCCUCUCUUUUUUGGGAAAGAUUUGAUUAAGGCGAGAAGAGCAACAUGAUUUAUCUACCGAUUUGGUUGCCUUGAUAAAAUACAAGGAGAUAAAAUUAAUAAUAUCCAAUAUGAAAUAUGAAACAAAAAUUAACACGCUGAGAAAACGAAAAAAAAAAAGAAAAAGAAAAAAGUAACAAAACAAAAAGAAAAGAAAAAGGGAAAAAAGGAAAGUGGAGAAGAAAAAUAGCUCUCAUUACUAAGGGCGCACAUGAUAAUCAUUCUCUUUCUGUUCAAGAAUUAUUUUUCUAUUAUAGACUCGUUUUUGGAAUAAAAGUCUGUUUGGUAAAAUUAGAUUUGGAACAUAAAUUAGAAAUAAUUUUUUUUUUACUUUUAUAUUUUUGGAACAAAAAUGAAAAAUAAAAACUUUUCUCAAUCCUUGUCCUCUCUAUUAGCUAGUUGCUCAUCUGUCAUCACUAACCGCCGUUCACCAUCCAUUGUCACCACUCUCAGCCACUGGCCACCGUCGCCAGCUAUCGCUGGUCACUGAUCGCCUGUCGCUACCACUGCCGCCUGUGGUCGCUACCUGCCAUUUACCAUCCGUUGUCACCACUCCCAACCAUUGGCCACCGUCACCACCGCCGUUGAUCGCCGGCCUCACCCUUGGUCAUUGACCGCCGCCACCAAUUGUUAGUUGCUUUUGUUGUUCGACAGCCGCCAGUCGCCGUUUGCCAGCUGUUAACUGUCGGCCGCCGGUCACUGGUCACAGUCCACCGAUCGUCGAAAAGGGAGAAAUUUUAUGUCCUUAUCAAACGAAUUUUUAUUUCAGAAAUAAAAACUUUGUGCCGUUAUCAAAUGCGUAUUUUUGCUUAGAAACUCAUUUAGAAACAGAAAUAAAAAAAUCUAUUUCUCUUCCAAAAAUUAAUUUCUUGCCAGAAUAGUUAUCAUCCGUGCUCUAAAAGGGCAUGAAGGCUGGUCACCCAUUUGGCUACAAACGCAUUCCAAGCUCUCUCUCUCUCUCUCUCUCUCUCUCUCUCUCUCUCUCUCUCUCUCUCUCUCUCUCUCUCUCUCUCUGAAGAGAAUUGAUUUCUGCGUUGUGUAACCACAAAUCGACGGCUUCAUCUUCUUCCUCUUUCGGGCGAUUAAUACUCCAGAAAAUUGGAAUCAACAUAGAAUUUGGAGUUCUCAGAAGCUCAUGUCAAAUGGAUUUCGAUGUCUUUUGCCGACACAACAUAUGGGAUUCAUAGGAUGUGGGUGAGUGGAGCAAAUGCGCGAGGAUUCUUUGGAGGCCCCUGCGGCUGUGAACAGUCCAACAUAGCUGCAAUACUUGUUACCAUUAAUUGCAAGCAAUUAAAAGUACGUAAGAAUGUCAUUUGAGUUGGGAUCAUCCCUAGCAACAAAUUCAAACUACUUCUAGAUAAAAAAAAGAAGAAGAAGUAUUGGCUCAUUCGACAUUUCUAAUUAAAUCAAGGAGAGUAGCAACCAUACAUGGCGCUCUCUCUCAUAGACAUUUAGAUUCGUUCAUUCAGAGCGGCAAAUGCAGAGAAUUCAAGAGAAAUUAGGUCAUUCAUACAUGUGCGUGUCCAUAUGCUAUGCGCACUAAGAAUGCAUAGACAUCAUAGAGUAGGAACUACCAAAAUCUGCGCCCUAGCUUAUCGGACAAUCGCAUGGAUGCGUGUGUUUGACCUUUGUAUCUGAGAUUUGGACAGAUUUUAUUUAUUUAUAAUUUUUAAUAAUUUUUGAUAAUAUUUAUUUUCUCCUCUUUUAUUCUCUUUUUUACUUCAAAGGGCUGGCGAGGCCACCUGGCUGAGGGCUAACGACCCUUGGGCGAGGUCACAGCCUGCGCCCAAGAGCAAUAGGGAUCAUCGGUCUUUUGUUAGUCCAAACUAAAAAAGAUAAAGGAAAUUUUAAAAAAAGAAAAAUAUAAAAAUUGAAAAGUUAGCCAAAUAGACUUAAUUGGUAAAACUAAAAAAGGUUUAGGACUCAACUAAGAAAAUUAAAAAGGUUUAGAACUGAAUUAGUAAACGUGCAACAUGUUCAAGAUUUUCUUAAUAAUUUUCCAUAGAAAGAGAAAGAGAUUUAAUGGGAUUUUUGUUUUGAGAAUGAUAAACUCAUUGAGUGUAAAAAGCCUAAAAGAAAUUUGUUGAUUUGAGUUUUUUCUUUUUUUUUUACUUGGGAGGAGAAAAAAAAAUUUGCUUGAAAUUAUGGCCUUCAAAGUCGAUUCAAAGUUGAUGCAAGUAGUAGGGCUAUAAUAUUAAUAGAGUCCAUUAAGUCUGUACCACUUAAUAUCCGUUCUCAACUCAAUUUGGUUAUGCACAACCCGAGUACAUACAAACCAAGCUCAAUUAGCUUCUUCCAUAGCAGCUCGAAUCAUUUACUUUCCUUACUUCAUCCUCCACUUUUGUCGUGAAUCCAAUCUUAUAAACCCGCUCGUCGAUCGACUCUGGCUUCACGACAAACAAGAAUGUGCAGGCAGAAAAGAAUGAAAGGGAAGCUCACCAAUGACGGUAAAGGGUGACAGCGACAUGCCAAAAAGCGUCGUCAAAUAGACAAGUCGUGGAUUGUACAGCAAUCUCCGCGUCAGAUAAAUCUGUCUUGGCAUGGUCAUUUAACUAUGAUCUGUACCACUUGCCAAACAUCCAAUUGUCUUCUUCGCCGAGUCUAUAAAUGGGGCGGGUCGUAUCUCAUUGCAGUAUCGAGCUCCUACAUCACUCCUUGCGUCUCUCUGUCGAACGACUUCCUAGCUUUUCAGAGAUAAUCAUGGCUUGCUCAACUGCAGCGACGACGACAAUGUCGAGAGUACUGCUGUUCCUGGUCGUGUUCUGGGCUCUCUUUACGGGCUUUGAUGGCCGUGCAUUACCAGCUACGUCAGGGAAUCAGAUGAACAGUGGUCAUCACCACAACAUUUAUGUUGUGGGCGGUGGUCGCGAGCAUUAUCUCAGCACAAGGAGGUCGAUCCUCCUUGACAGGCCUGCACCCGGAGGACCUAAUCCACACCACGACUCUGGACCCGGAGGACCUAAGCCAC